CCUACGGGAUGCAGCAGUGAGGAAUAUUGGUCAAUGGGCGGAAUCCUGAACCAGCCAAGUAGCGUGCGGGAUGAAGGCCCUACGGGUCGUAAACCGCUUUUGCACGGGGAUAACACCCUCCACUUGUGGAGGUCUGCAGGUACCGUGCGAAUAAGGGCCGGCUACUUCCGUGCCAGCAGCCGCGGUAAUACGGAAGGCCCGAGCGUUAUCCGGAUUCAUUGGGCUUAAAGGGAGCGUAGGCGGGCGUUCAAGUCAGCUGUAAAAUCGCGCGGCUCAACCGCGCCCCGCAGUUGAAACUGGACGCAUUGAGUUCACAACAGGCAGGCGGAAUUCGUGGUGUAGCGGUGAAAUGCAUAGAUAUCACGAGGAACCCCGAUUGCGAAGGCAGCCUGCCGGGGUGCGACUGACGCUGAGGCUCGAAGGUGCGGGUAUCAAACAGGAUUAGAUACCCCUGUAGUC
rnacentral:rRNA from 1 species